rnacentral:rRNA from 1 species
GACGAACCGUGCAAACGUUGUUCGGAAUCACUGGGCUUAAAGGGCGCGUAGGCGGGGGACCAAGUCCGGGGUGAAAUCUUUCGGCUCAACCGGAAAACUGCCUUGGAUACUGGUCUUCUUGAGGGAGGUAGGGGCAGGUGGAACUUCCGGUGGAGCGGUGAAAUGCGUUGAUAUCGGAAGGAACGCCGGUGGCGAAAGCGGCCUGCUGGAUCUCUUCUGACGCUGAGGCGCGAAAGCUAGGGGAGCGAACGG